rnacentral:tRNA from 1 species
GCACGGGUAGUCGAGUAGACAGACGCUGGCUCGCAAGGCCAGAGACGAUGGUUCAAAUCCAUCCCCGUGCU